rnacentral:lncRNA from 1 species
AGAGAUAUUUUUUUUUUGAAAAUGUGUAGUGUUUUUGUGAUGAUGUAUUUGUAGAUAAUUUUUUAAUUUUAAUUUUAGGGGCAGUUUAGUCAUUUAUCAUAAAAAAUAGAUAAUUUUAAAAAAUUUAUUUGAGUGGGUAAAUUUUUAAUCUACUAUAAAAAAUAAGCUAGUUUGAUAUACUAACUCAAAAUUAAAUGUUUUAAUU